CCUCAUCCUCAUCCUCUCCACCAUCAUCAUCAGAGCUAGGAGGCGGAGAACAAGGAAGCUAAAUUAAGGUAUUUACUUGAGCCUUGAAUUCUUGGACAUCUGACUCAAGUGUCGUCCUACGUCGCUCCUCCUCCAUCCUUCUAUUUUGUUCCUCCUCGUACUUCCUAGCAAGCAAAUUCUUGUUGCAUCUCCUCAAGUUGCUUAUCUGGAAUGGUGGCGGAGCCCCCUAUACCUUGCAAUCCACACCGGAGGCGAUGAAAGUUCUUCUCAGAGCAAAGGUCAUACGCCCUUCUCUUAUACACGCCACCAAAUACAUCAUGGUUUGAUUGUCUUGAUAAUCUAUCGGCUGAUUCCUUUUGAUUUCCUCAAUUGCUUAAACAUAUUGAUUCUACAUUAAAAGUAAAUUAGUAUAUGAGAAAUGGUACAUGCUUGACAUAACGUGAAUUGUACGGUUAGUUAUUAGAGAAAGAGAACUGAAUGAUUUCAUUUACAUACCACAUAGUGUCAAGCAUAAAAUAUGCCUAACAUUGGCAAAAGGAAUAGAUCAACUCACAUAUAUAUGUACAGUUCAUGUUCUUACACGUGUAAAGACGACAACAAAACCUUUGAGCUAAGCGUCUGUAAGGGCCAAAACAGCCUAAACAAGAACUUUGCACAUAGGUACAAGUUUGGUAUAACGUGAAUUGUACAGUUAUUUAUAAAUUCAAUAACAUUUAAAAAACUAAAAGUUCUAGGCUCUAGCUAAAAACUGAUACUUGUAACUUCACUCGAACAAACAAAAAAUCCAAGCUCUACGUUAAAUCUGACAAGUUCUCAAAAGAUAUACUUCCUCUGCUGACACAACUAAAUAAUCCAUUUGACUCCUAAUCCCACAUCUUAAGACUCACCAAACACAUAAUUGAAUGCCGUACUUGGAUAUUUAACAAGUCCAAACGAAACCAAAGCAUAAACUUUCACAAACAACAGCAAACUGCAAACCACAAGAUACACUUUUCAAGAAGUUUAAGUUUACUACAUAACUUCCAUACUUCCAAAGAAAGGUUCUCUAUACUCGACACUACUUGCCUAUAUUUUUCUCAAUGAGUGAUGCUACUUGUUUAAGCCAGGGCCGGCUGAACAAUGUAAUGUAAAAGCUAUUGCCUUAGG
rnacentral:lncRNA from 1 species